GACAGAGGUCUCGAGCGUUAGGCGGAAUCACUGGGCGUAAAGCGUGCGUAGACGGUUGCGUAAGUCAGAUGUGAAAGCCCCGGGCUCAACCUGGGAAUUGCAUUUGAGACUGCGUAGCUAGGGUGCGGAAGAGGGAAGCGGAAUUUCCGGUGUAGCGGUGAAAUGCGUAGAUAUCGGAAGGAACACCAGUGGCGAAAGCGGCUUCCUGGUCCAGCACCGACGUUCAGGCACGAAAGCGUGGGGAGCAAACAGG
rnacentral:rRNA from 1 species